UACGUAGGGUGCAGACGUUAAUCGGAAUUACUGGGCGUAAAGCGUGCGCAGGCGGCUUUGCAAGACAGAUGUGAAAUCCCCGGGCUUAACCUGGGAACUGCAUUUGUGACUGCAUGGCUGGAGUGCGGCAGAGGGGGAUGGAAUUCCGCGUGUAGCAGUGAAAUGCGUAGAUAUGCGGAGGAACACCGAUGGCGAAGGCAAUCCCCUGGGCCUGCACUGACGCUCAUGCACGAAAGCGUGGGGAGCAAACAGG
rnacentral:rRNA from 1 species